GCGAGAGUGGCGGAAUUGGUAGACGCACUGGAUUUAGGAUCCAGCGGUAUAUCCGUGAGAGUUCGAGUCUCUCCUUUCGCA
rnacentral:tRNA from 1 species